rnacentral:lncRNA from 1 species
AUGCAGAUUCUAAGAAGGUGGAAUCUCAACAGCAAAGCAAGGAAAAACAAGAGUGGUCAAAAACAGGAGGACCUGAAGACUGAAAUAUGGGCCCAAGGGACUGACACACACCUUCCAGAACACCAAUAUAGAAUAUUUUUAACCCACUUGAACAACAACAACAAAAAAACCUGCAAUAUUGCUAAAUUUCAAGAAGGGAAGACAAUGGAUUUUCAUCUAUGUUGGAUGACAUUUAAAAUCUGCGUCCUCUUGGCCUUCCAAAUACAUGUGGAUCACAACAUGAAAGAAAGGAAUCAGAAAAGAAAGAGUAUAGGGAAAAAAUUGAGGCCGGAUGACAGGCUCAUUAAAAUGUGCAGAAAGCAUCUCUAA